AUGGGUUUUGCCAUCCGAGGUAAAAAGACAGUGAGACUAGAGGGAGUUCGAUAUGUUAAAAAACAGAGGCACUGGAUGGAUUCCACCAAUGCUGUAAUGAAAAUAGGUACAGAGCUGCAUCCUUCACAAGGCCUCCGCUGAGACAAGUUGUUGAUAAAGCCAAGUGGCUUCAAGAGAUUUCCUGAGCCACAAGGAUGAACUGUGACUGUGAGCUACAAGAAUGUGACUCACACUUCCAGAGGUGUUUCCUGGCUAUUACAGCCACUAUCGAUAAUAAUAGGCCAAUCUGAAGCUGUGCUGGGAUAUGUAUUUGUGUAUGGUUACUGUACUGAGAAGUAGUAUAUUUUGAUUUGCACAUAUAUAUUUGCACUACUGCUGCUAGUCAUUUUCAUGCAAAUUGUUGUCUUUAUCCCAUGCAAUUCUAAUGAGAUAACACAGUUGUCAAGCAGAGCGGAAUUUGGCACACCAUGUUGACCAAGCCUUAUUUCAAGCUUUCCCUGUGUGCCAUCUUAACGUGGUGUCUUCACACCACAAAUAUAGUUGUCUUUAGCCAAAUGUGAUUGUUUGGUGCACAAACAUAUGUGAAUGCAGUACCUCAGUAAAGUCUGACAUUUGUUUGUGUUGUAUUUUUCUUAAUUUAUCAUUUUCAUCCACCUUUGUUUCCUCAGAAGAUUCUCACAGAUCUUAAAAUUAUUUUGAUGGGAGAAUUUUCCAACAAAAAAGUGAAGUUAGUAGAAAGUUAAUUUUUGUAGGGAAGUUUUGAUUUCAAUAGCUGUUUUCAUAGGAAACAGUAAACACUGAAAUGAAUUGAAAUAAACAUCCACAAAUCUUUUGCAGGUCCUACAUAAAAAUAUCUGGAAUAUUUAUUUUGAAGCAAACUUAAAUUUUCCAGUAGUAUUCUGGUUUGGAGCACUAAUUUGUGAAGUGUUGAACUUCCUUCAGGUAAUUAAAGAGCUCUAAUCACACAUUUUAUUUCCCCAGAAGUCAUUAGGAACAACCAACAUAGUCUUAGCUGUUGUAUUUGAGCUUUCAAGUCUUUC
rnacentral:lncRNA from 1 species